ensembl:lncRNA
GAGCUUGACAAACCCUGGUUACUACAAACUGCUGCUGUAUGACAAGACCUGCUUAUAAGAGUAGCUUUUGAGAACAAUAUGAGGGUUUUUGGAGGCUUUGAAAUCCAGACUCAGAAGUGGAGGUGGAUCCCAGCAGGAACAUGGCCCAUCUCUCUGCCCCAGAGGAGACGUACUGCCACAGGGUCCAGAGAUGAGCCUUUGCCUGUCCGCUCUGGGUCCCGGGGUCUCUUCCUGAUUGGACUGGACUUUACGGCUGCUGGGACUUUUGCUUAAAACUCUUAACAAACAGAGCUGCCUGGCUCAGGGCUGGCCCCCAGCUGGACGCUCUAGACUGGUCCUCGGGGACACAGAAGGACUCUGUUCGAAUCCGUAUCGAUCCGUGAUGCUGAUGAAAGAACCCACUGGUCACCUUGAGCCCUGUGUAUCCCGCGGCAACACUGCAGCCCACCCGUGUCACUUUAGUCAGACCAUGAGGCUCCGGGGCACGAGAGGAAAAAGCAGAUGCAUUGUCAGAAGAGGCACAAAAUGCAACAAAUCCCCCCUCACUGCUAACCGUGAUCUUCCUGACACUCUGAGACAGGCGGCCCAGCUGGGACUCUACCCAGGAUCGCGUCUCUUUCAUGGGCAAACGCUGUUUCACCUGCUCCCCCUCCCAUCACAAAUCCCACAAUCCUCCCCCCGUCUCCCCAGCCCCUCCAACCGUCCCAGCUGAGCUUUGCUAAUCAGUAUAGCGACGAGAGACAAGACUUGGUUAAUUCGGCCAAUUAGGCCCGAGCGUUGUUUGUGGCCAGCGACAUUUUGUAUUCGUGAAAAUGUGUGGAGUGCAAAACGUGCCCUGGAGCAACGAGAUGAUAGUGCCGUGGCUACAGCCACAUGUCAACAAAACACAUACAGGCUGAAGGGGCGAUCCUGCUUUAUGGAGUGUGUGUGUGUGUGUGUGUGUGUGUGUGUGAGAGAGAGAGACAGAGAGUACACUUGAAUACAUGCAUGUGCUUUCAGAGUGGAUUGUGAUUUUUACAAUAUAAA